AGAGUUUGAUCCUGGCUCAGGAUGAACGCUGGCGGCGUGCUUAACACAUGCAAGUCGAACGAACCUUCGGGUUAGUGGCGGACGGGUGAGUAACGCGUGAGAAUCUGCCCUCAGGAGGGGGAUAACGGCUGGAAACGGCCGCUAAUACCCCAUAUGCCGAGAGGUGAAAUGAAUUUCGCCUGAGGAUGAGCUCGCGUCUGAUUAGCUAGUUGGUGUGGUAAAGGCUCACCAAGGCAUCGAUCAGUAGCUGGUCUGAGAGGAUGAUCAGCCACACUGGGACUGAGACACGGCCCAGACUCCUACGGGAGGCAGCAGUGGGGAAUUUUCCGCAAUGGGCGCAAGCCUGACGGAGCAACGCCGCGUGAGGGAUGAAGGCCUCUGGGCUGUAAACCUCUUUUAUCAAGGAAGAAGAUCUGACGGUACUUGAUGAAUAAGCCACGGCUAAUUCCGUGCCAGCAGCCGCGGUAAUACGGGAGUGGCAAGCGUUAUCCGGAAUUAUUGGGCGUAAAGCGUCCGCAGGCGGUCUUGAAAGUCUGUUGUUAAAGCGUGGAGCUCAACUCCAUUUCAGCAAUGGAAACUAGAAGACUAGAGUGUGGUAGGGGCAGAGGGAAUUCCCGGUGUAGCGGUGAAAUGCGUAGAUAUCGGGAAGAACACCAGUGGCGAAGGCGCUCUGCUGGGCCAUAACUGACGCUCAUGGACGAAAGCCAGGGGAGCGAAAGGGAUUAGGUACCCCUGUAGUCCUGGCCGUAAACGAUGAACACUAGGUGUCGGGGGAAUCGACCCCCUCGGUGUCGUAGCCAACGCGUUAAGUGUUCCGCCUGGGGAGUACGCACGCAAGUGUGAAACUCAAAGGAAUUGACGGGGGCCCGCACAGGCGGUGGAGUAUGUGGUUUAAUUCGAUGCAACGCGAAGAACCUUACCAGGGUUUGACAUCCUGCGAAUCCCUUGGAAACUUGGGAGUGCCUUCGGGAGCGCAGUGACAGGUGGUGCAUGGCUGUCGUCAGCUCGUGUCGUGAGAUGUUGGGUUAAGUCCCGCAACGAGCGCAACCCACGUCUUUAGUUGCCAGCAUUAAGUUGGGCACUCUAGAGAGACUGCCGGUGAUAAACCGGAGGAAGGUGUGGAUGACGUCAAGUCAUCAUGCCCCUUACAUCCUGGGCUACACACGUACUACAAUGCUACGGACAAAGGGCAGCAAACUCGCGAGAGCUAGCAAAUCCCAUAAACCGUGGCUCAGUUCAGAUCGUAGGCUGCAACUCGCCUACGUGAAGGAGGAAUCGCUAGUAAUCGCAGGUCAGCAUACUGCGGUGAAUACGUUCCCGGGCCUUGUUC
rnacentral:rRNA from 1 species